CCCAUACCCAGUUGUAUAUCUUAGUUGCAGGUCCUUCUAGUUGUGGGAUGUGGGACGCCGCCUCAAUGUGGCCUGAAGAGCAGUGCCAUGUCCGAGCCCAGGAUCCAAACCCUGGGCCGCUGCAGCAUAGUGCGCGAACUUAACCACUUGGCCACGGAGCUGGCCACCAGUUGUGUAUUUUAAGUAACUAAGCUAAAUUCAUUUUCCCUUGCUGUUCUUUCCAUUUUUAUAUAAAUGUGACUCCAUUUUUUUCCCCCAAGGUGGGGGAAUAUCCAAGGAAUUGAGCUAUACACUGAUGCAGUGUCAUGCCAACGUUGAAAUUAGAGCCUGGGUCUUCUGACUCCUUAGUCAGUAUUCUUUCUACUCCACUAUAUUGGCUCUCCAUCCAAACCAAACCACUUUGCACUGCCCUGAUGGAAAUAGGCUAACCGGGUGAAAGCUGAUAAUGUGGGGCCCUGAUUAAAAUAGUUAACCAGGUGAAAGUCUAGUCAAAACUUUCUCCAUUAGGAAUCCACUAAUUUGAGGAAUGAUAUAUUGUAACAGCCAUAAAUUUGAACAAUUUAGAUUGCGUUCCACACUUCUUUCCUUCUCUUCCUUUUAAACCAGAUGAAAGAGACAAGCUACAAAGUGCUAGAAUUAAGACUAUAAUGUAUAAUUUGUAUACUAAACACUGUUUAUGUGUAAUCUUCCAUGUUAAUUAUAGGUGAAAUAUUUACUAAUAAAAUUUUUGUUUUGGAUAAAGGCGAGGAUCAAUGACUUUAGAGUUGGUGGUUCAAAGAAAUCACAUGGACCAUCCCCUGUCUUUCAGUUCAAAAUUUGGCUUCCAACGGAACAGGCUGAGAAGUGAAAGAGUGGCCAUUAAGGGUGAAUGAACUUGUCCUGACUCUUUGCAGCCUACAGGCGUUAUAAUCCUGUGGGGAAAUUUGGACACAAAGACACACAGGAAGAACACCAUGUGAAGAUGAAGGCAGAGAUCAAGGUGAUCGAUAUACAAGCCAAGGAAUGUCAAUGACUGACAGCAACCACCAGAAGCUAGAAGAGAGGCAUGGAAAAGACUUUCUCUCACAGCCCCCAGAAGGAAUCAACCCUACUGAUACCUUACUUCUAGCCUCCAGAACUGUGAGACAAAUAUUUUAUACCGUUUAAGCUACCUAGUGUGUGGUAUUUAGUUAUGGCGGCCAUAGAAAGCUAAUAAACCAAGUAUUUCCCAUUUCUGUUAUUCUUCCUUCAUUCCUGACAUGCCAGGUUUCCUUCUGGUAUCAUUGACUUUCAGACUGAGCAACUUCCUCGGGUGUUUCUACUGAUCUAUCUUCCCAGUUCACUGAAUCUUUCCUCUGUCAUCUCUCUCCUACCGUUGAGCCUGAGGUCUCAAGAUGAAAUCAUCCUGGACUGAGGAUAGGCUCUAAAUACGAUGACUGGUGUCUUUACAAGAGAAAGGAGGUAGAGAUUUGGAUAUGGAGAGGCAAAAAGGGAAGAAGGCCACGUGAAGAUGGAGCUAGACAUUGGAGGGAUGCUGCCACAAGUCAAGGCUAUCAACCUAGUUGGUUUCAGAUCACAGGUUUUUUUCUCUCCUUCUAUGGCCGGUGUUUCCAAAGCGAAGUGUUGGAAGCUUUUGUAUGCUGCAUUUUGUUGGUCCCGUGAAGGCACAGCUCACAGGCUCCUUCUACACCUCCGGUCUGGCCCACAUCUGACUCAAAAUCAACAGAUGGCCAUCAAUCCUGCUUUUAGUUCUCCAAAGAAGGCGAUUCCCAGUUUUCGUUGCUCACAAAUUUUAGUACUUAACGACCCUGUUGGAAGGCUUUCCUUAUUGUGUUCAAUUUUCUUGGUUCUCUGAACUUCAUUGAUGUUCGUGCCUCUUCCUUGGUAGCUAAUAAUGUAAGUAACCGGAAGUAAUGUAAGUGUAUCUUCCUUACAUAUUAUAAACAGCUCAAAAUCAUAGACUUCCACUCUCUCCCUUGCAGUCCACAAAACGUUAUAAAUACUUGUUAAAACAAAUUAAAGUCAUAUUUCCC
rnacentral:lncRNA from 1 species